UACGUAGGGUGCAAGCGUUGUCCGGAAUUAUUGGGCGUAAAGAGCUCGUAGGCGGUUUGUCGCGUCUGCUGUGAAAACCCGAGGCUCAACCUCGGGCCUGCAGUCGAUACGGGCAAACUAGAGUACUGCAGGGGAGACUGGAAUUCCUGGUGUAGCGGUGAAAUGCGCAGAUAUCAGGAGGAACACCGGUGGCGAAAGCGGGUCUCUGGGCAGUAACUGACGCUGAGGAGCGAAAGCGUGGGGAGCGAACAGG
rnacentral:rRNA from 1 species